rnacentral:rRNA from 1 species
UACGAAGGGGGCUAGCGUUGCUCGGAAUGACUGGGCGUAAAGGGCGCGUAGGCGGAUGGCACAGUCAGAUGUGAAAUUCCCGGGCUUAACCUGGGGGCUGCAUUUGAUACGUGUUGUCUUGAGUUCGGAAGAGGGUCGUGGAAUUCCCAGUGUAGAGGUGAAAUUCGUAGAUAUUGGGAAGAACACCGGUGGCGAAGGCGGCGACCUGGUCCGACACUGACGCUGAGGCGCGAAAGCGUGGGGAGCAAACAGGAU